CCUACGGGAGGCAGCAGUGGGGAAUAUUGGACAAUGGGCGAAAGCCUGAUCCAGCAAUGCCGCGUGAGUGAAGAAGGCCUUCGGGUUGUAAAGCUCUUUUACCCGGGAAGAUAAUGACUGUACCGGGAGAAUAAGCCCCGGCUAACUCCGUGCCAGCAGCCGCGGUAAUACGGAGGGGGCUAGCGUUGUUCGGAAUUACUGGGCGUAAAGCGUACGUAGGCGGCUUUGUAAGUCAGAGGUGAAAGCCCACGACUCAAUCGUGGAACUGCCUUUGAGACUGCUUCGCUUGAAGAUGGGAGAGGUUAGUGGAAUUCCGAGUGUAGAGGUGAAAUUCGUAGAUAUUCGGAAGAACACCAGUGGCGAAGGCGGCUAACUGGACCAUUCUUGACGCUGAGGUACGAAAGCGUGGGGAGCAAACAGGAUUAGAUACCCUGGUAGUCCACGCCGUAAACGAUGAUAACUAGCUGUCGGGGCUCUUGGAGCUUCGGUGGCGCAGCUAACGCAUUAAGUUAUCCGCCUGGGGAGUACGGCCGCAAGGUUAAAACUCAAAUGAAUUGACGG
rnacentral:rRNA from 1 species